CAGCGCUCUUCUUCAGCACGUCGCCUCCCCCACAGUUUCCCGAUGCCUCGUUUUCCGCAAGGAAUGUCUAUUGCAGCCCCCCCUCCCCAGACUUGGUCAUCCGCAAUAUGCCGCUUCCAGGCCUGCUCCAGGAUCUUGUUGAAUGCUGCAGCUGGAUCUAUUGCGAUGCGUCUCUGCCCGGCACCCAGGCAGCCAAGUCUAGCUGGGGGAAUGAGUUUCGGAACUUAACCCUAAGCAUACAUCUGGUUCAGUAUUGCGCUCAGUCGUCCAACCCCCUUUCUAAGUCGACCCUGUUUCUCGAUGCUGCUCCCGUCGAAAGAUGGGCAUGGCGGCUGACGCAGGAACCUGUGUUGAUGGACUAGGGGAGCGGACAUCCAGUCACUACAUAGUGCGCAAGAGGAAGGAUGCCAUGAGUCGUUGUGGUAAGAUCCUCUGGCCUGAGGACGCUCGUCAGCCCUGUCCGCUGGAACUAGCACUAUGGUCGAGAAUAGACUGUCCUUGGAGAUGCUGUUGGCAUUGAUGGGUAGAUUGAUUGUCUGCUGUCUGUUGAGAUCUGCGUCGGUGGCUUUAUCCCCGCCGGUGCAAGGUCUAUGGCAUGGAGCUUGAGCACAGAAUGGGCUUCAAACAGCCAGAAGUCGCAUUUUCGAAAUCGCAUCUCAUCCCUAUGGCACCUUGCCGGAAGCCUGGUUUAUAUCAGUGCCGUGAGAGCCAUACGGAAACACACAGAAAUGCAACGACUUCUGACCAAGCCAACGCCAUUCUUCGUUGCUCUCGGAUGCUCCUAUAUGCCCGCCCGCUAUUGGGAUUUAAAUCAACAUGAAUAUCUCAGUAUUAUGAUCUCUGCCCAUCAGCCCCUUUGCUCCUUGGACCACACCACAGCACUCUUCUCCCGGUGUGUGAUGCAGCUGCGUCUGGUCUGACCAAGCGCAUUAACCUUGAGUCGUUGGCUUUGUCCCUCGACUUUGCAAGGGCGCCAGUCCCCGUUUGGGCCAUUGCCCGGCAGCUUCCUCGCAGAUCUUGCCAAAAGGCUGCCGAGAUGAUAACGCGGUUUUUACGGAUGUAUUUUGUCCGCGUGUUAACGCCCUCCUGUCUUUCAAAGUUUUGGAGAGGAAACAAAAACAAGUCUCCGUUGGCAGUGCGAGACACACAGAAGGAAGCUUGCUUGACUACAUUAAGAACAUUUAGGCUGCAUUACGCUACUCGGACCUUGGACUAGGUGAGCUCGAAGAAGGCAGCAGAUUCAUGACGGGACUGGCCAGAGGCAAAGUUCGGAAAUCGGUCCCUUUUUCGGACACCGCGGAUGCGACUCGGUGUCGAUUCUGGCUUGGAUCUGGGACCCAUCUCGAGUUGGAGUCAAAGUUUAGUGCUUGUCCAGUUCCUUGACCAAACUCAUCUGCCUUGAGUUGGACCCGCGGGCAGUCGUCAUCUGGCUCGGCUCAUUGACAUGUGCUCAGUACAACUACUAUUGGCUUGUAAGGACACACCGUAGAUGUGGGAGGCAGUCCUGGUUGUCCUCUUCCCAGAAAUGGCUGGAGGGCAACCCCCCGCUGAUGAGG
rnacentral:telomerase_RNA from 1 species